UACAGAGGGGGCAAGCGUUGUUCGGAAUUACUGGGCGUAAAGGGCUCGUAGGUGGCCAACUAAGUCAGACGUGAAAUCCCUCGGCUUAACCGGGGAACUGCGUCUGAUACUGGAUGGCUUGAGUUUGGGAGAGGGACGCGGAAUUCCAGGUGUAGCGGUGAAAUGCGUAGAUAUCUGGAGGAACACCGGUGGCGAAGGCGGCGUCCUGGACCAACACUGACACUGAGGAGCGAAAGCCAGGGGAGCAAACGGG
rnacentral:rRNA from 1 species